CCUACGGGAGGCAGCAGUAAGGAAUAUUGGUCAAUGGGCGCAAGCCUGAACCAGCCAUGCCGCGUGCAGGAAGACGGCCCUAUGGGUUGUAAACUGCUUUUGAACAAGAGAAAACCUCGGUACGUGUACCGAGCUGAUAGUAUUGUUAGAAUAAGCAUCGGCUAACUUCGUGCCAGCAGCCGCGGUAAGACGAAGGAUGCAAGCGUUAUCCGGAUUCAUUGGGUUUAAAGGGUGCGUAGGCGGCCUGAUAAGUCAGUGGUGAAAUCUCUCAGCUUAACUGAGAAACUGCCAUUGAUACUGUCGGGCUUGAGUACAGAUGAUGUGGGCGGAAUAUGACAUGUAGUGGUGAAAUACUUAGAUAUGUCAUAGAACACCGAUUGCGAAGGCAGCUCACAAAACUGUAACUGACGCUGAGGCACGAAAGUGCGGGGGAUCAAACAGGAUUAGAUACCCUGGUAGUCCGCACCGUAAACGAUGAUUACUCGUUGUUGGCAAUAUGACCGUCAGCGACCAAGCGAAAGCGAAUAAGUAAUUCCACCUGGGGAGUUACGCCGGCGACGGUUGAAACUUCAAAGAGUUAGUUAGGACGUUGNGAGNGCGACGACGGACGACGACGGAGGAGGAGG
rnacentral:rRNA from 1 species